rnacentral:lncRNA from 1 species
GCUUGCCCCGGCGCCCCCGGCGUGCAGAGCCGGCCUACCACCCCCGCGCCUUCUCCCGCCCAGGGCUUUGCCGGGGAGAGAGCAGGGGGCGCGCUGGGGGCCAUUCCCAACGGAUGCGGUCUGGGGCGCCACGCGCGGGCUUUUUGAAAACUUGACUGUUGGGGUUGGGGGCCCGGAUCUACCCGCCGCCUCUCCGCUUGUCCGCUACACCUGGCGUCCCCGCCCCACCUCCCGCCCGCACAAAGAUGGAGGGCAGAGGCCUGGUCCACGAAGGCGGUUAUUAACCGUUUACAGUGGGCCCGACGUGCGGUUAAACUAAAACUUUGCCACGUGGCCCUGCGCAAAAGCGAGCCCGAGGCGGCGGUGUGAAAGACAACAGGGAACCAAAAGAACUUCAGACAUUAGGAACCAGACGAGGCGCGACAUCCCUGCCUCCCUGCCACCCUCCCGCCCUCCUUGAAGCCCUCCCACGAUGCCCUCUCAGAGGAGGCCCUUUCAGGUCCC